rnacentral:rRNA from 1 species
CCUACGGGAGGCAGCAGUAGGGAAUAUUGCUCAAUGGGCGAAACCCUGAAGCAGCAACGCCGCGUGCAGGAUGAAGGUUUUCGGAUUGUAAACCCCUUUUUUUAGAGAAGAAAAUGCCGGUAUCUAACUAAUAAUGACCGGAUAACACCGUGCCAGCAGCCACGGUAAUACGGAGGGUGCAAGCGUUACGCGGAAUCACUGGGCGUAAAGCGGGCGUAGGCGGGUUAACAAGUCAGUGGUGAAAUCCUAGGGCUUAACCAUAGAACUGCCUUUGAAACUCAUAGUCUAGAGUAUGGGAGAGGUAGGUGGAAUUCUUGGUGUAGGGGUAAAAUCCGUAGAGAUCAAGAGGAACACUGAUUGCGAAGGCGACCUGCUAGAACAUAACUGACGCUGAGGCGCGAAAGCGUGGGGAGCAAACAGGAUUAGAUACCCUGGUAGUC